GGUCAGAUGGUGUAAUGGGUAACACCCCUGCUAUAUACGCAGAAGCCCUGGGUUCAAUCCCCAGUCUGGCCA